rnacentral:rRNA from 1 species
GUGGGGAAUAUUGGACAAUGGGGGGAACCCUGAUCCAGCCAUGCCGCGUGUGUGAAGAAGGCCUUUUGGUUGUAAAGCACUUUAAGCGAGGAGGAGGCUACCGAGAUUAAUACUCUUGGAUAGUGGACGUUACUCGUAGAAUAAGCACCGGCUAACUCUGUGCCAGCAGCCGCGGUAAUACAGAGGGUGCAAGCGUUAAUCGGAUUUACUGGGCGUAAAGCGCGCGUAGGUGGCCAAUUAAGUCAAAUGUGAAAUCCCCGAGCUUAACUUGGGAAUUGCAUUCGAUACUGGUUGGCUAGAGUAUGGGAGAGGAUGGUAGAAUUCCAGGUGUAGCGGUGAAAUGCGUAGAGAUCUGGAGGAAUACCGAUGGCGAAGGCAGCCAUCUGGCCUAAUACUGACACUGAGGUGCGAAAGCAUGGGGAGCAAACAGGAUUAGAUACCCUAGUAGUCC